rnacentral:rRNA from 1 species
CGCAUCUGUGCAUGCAGCAUAUCAAUAAGCGGAGGAAAAGAAACUAACAAGGAUUCCCCUAGUAACGGCGAGUGAAGCGGGAAGAGCUCAAAUUUGAAAUCUUAAAGGGUUUCCCUUUACGAAUUGUAGUUUAAAGAAGUGUUUUCUGUUGAGGUUUUGGUAAAAGUUCUUUGGAAUAGGACAUCAUAGAGGGUGAGAAUCCCGUAUUUGACCUUUACUUUCAACUUUGUGAUACACUUUCAAAGAGUCGGAUUGUUUGGGAAUGCAGUCCAAAAUGGGUGGUAAAUUUCAUCUAAAGCUAAAUAUUGGCGAGAGACCGAUAGCGAACAAGUACCGUGAGGGAAAGAUGAAAAGAACUUUGAAAAGAGAGUUAAACAGUACGUGAAAUUGUCAAAAGGGAAGCGUUUGACACCAGUGUUGUUUUUCUGAAAAUCAAUUAAAGAACUGUUUAUGCUAAGUUGUUUAGACUUUAUCAGCUAACUGUUUAGUUUUGAGCUUUUCUUUAAUGCGCUUUUCAGUUAACAAGUCAACAUCAAUUUCUUUUGCUGUAAAAAAGCCUGAGGAAGGUGGCUUGAGAUUCGUCUUAAGUGUUUAUAGCCUCUUGCCUAUGCAGUCGGAGAGAUUGAGGUCUGCAGCGUAGAUCCUUCGGGGCUAAAUGCAUUUGUGCUAAGUUAUAGCAUUUUAUAGACAACUUGUUGACUAUGAUUUGUCUUGUAGCUUACUCGCUUAUGUUAUUUUACCUACGCUUAGGAUGUUGAAGAUGUAGCACAUCAU